UUGUGUAUUCUUUUGGUAUAGCUUGUGUUAUAUUGUAGUUUUGUAAUUUAGUUUAGUAGUAGUUUUAAUUUAAUUUUAUAUGUAUUGUUUUGACAUGUUUAUAGUAAAAUAAAAUAAUGGUUGACACUUAAAACAACUUUUUAAUACAGUUGCUCAAAAAGUGGUACUUUUUGUGGCUGCGUAGCGUGCGAGAAGCUCAAUUUCUCGAACUAGUGCUUUUUACUUUUUAGUUCCAAACUAUACUUUCGAAACGCAGUAAUUUUAUAUUAGAUUUUUUACUUGGAAAUUAUGACAUUAAAAACGCUUACGAAUACUAGGAGUAUUUAUUUAAAGUAUUCAUUAAUAUAUAAAUGACGAAAAAAUAUUAAGAAUUUGCAUGUUAUAGCCUACUCUGUCUUAGGUAUCUAUGUAUGAAAUAUUUACUUUCCUAAAAAUCGUUCUUUGAUUUGGCUGAAUGAUACAAGCAUAGGUAUGCCUAGAAAAAAAAAGUUCAAAAGCAAAUCAGCCCGCCCUUUUGAAAUAACUUCUAACAUUAUUUAAACACAUUAACGCAUAUAAAUAUAUAAUUUGGUACGAGAAGUUAUAAAAAAAUAUUGAAAAUGAUUGAUUCAGACAUUGAUAUGACACCACCAGACAUUCGUGCUAGAGCAGCAAUUGCCAAUGACUGUGUUAUUCCAGAAAAAUCUAAAAACCAAUAUAAUGCCGUCUAUGUAAAAUUUAUCGAGUGGAAAACCUUACAUAACGCAGUCUUUUUCAGAGACUGUUUUGAUGGCCUAUUUUCAAGAGCUGUCUGAAACCUAUCGGCCAUCAACAUUAUGGUCAAAAUAUUCUAUGUUGAAAGCUGUUAUAAAGUUAAAACAUGACAUAGAUAUAAAAACUUACACCAGAUUGACUGCUUUCUUAAAAAGGCAAAGUGCAGGAUUUCAGAGUAAAAAAUCGAAGGUACUAACAGCUGAACAAAUUGAGACGUUUAUUAAUGAAGCUCCAGAUCAGCAACAUCUAGCUACAAAGGUUGCUCUUAUAUUUGGAGUCUGUGGCGCAUGCAGACGCGAAGAGCUCACAAAUGUAUCAGUAAAAGAUAUAGAAACACAUGGGGACAUACUUCUUGUCAAAAUACCAAAUACAAAAAAUAAAAUUCCCAGGUCCUUCACUAUUGACGGCCCAUUUGCAGAAAUAGU